CGGCCGCGUCGACGCUAGUUGGUGAGGUAAUGGCUCACCAAGGCUGCGAUCCGUAACUGGUCUGAGAGGAUGAUCAGUCACACUGGAACUGAGACACGGUCCAGACUCCUACGGGAGGCAGCAGUGGGGAAUAUUGGACAAUGGGCGAAAGCCUGAUCCAGCCAUGCCGCGUGUGUGAAGAAGGUCUUCGGAUUGUAAAGCACUUUAAGUUGGGAGGAAGGGCAGUAAGUUAAUACCUUGCUGUUUUGACAGUACCGGGAGAAUAAGCCCCGGCUAACUCCGUGCCAGCAGCCGCGGUAAUACGGAGGGGGCUAGCGUUGUUCGGAAUUACUGGGCGUAAAGCGCACGUAGGCGGCUUUGUAAGUUAGAGGUGAAAGCCUGGAGCUUAACUCCAGAACUGCCUUUAAGAC
rnacentral:rRNA from 1 species